rnacentral:lncRNA from 1 species
UGCCUCUUCGAUUUUGGAGCAAGCAAUCUUGUUGGGAGUGUUUUCUCGAAUGUGAGUAAAGGUUGGGCAUGUUUGCUAGUCUACCUUGCCACGAAACACAGAGGUUGACACACAGGGACUUUCCAAUUAUCCAGCAGUGGUACUGUUCCUUUACCCUUUCUUCGAUUUUUGAGAAAGUAAUCAUGUUGGGAGUCUGGCUCUCGAGAUUCGGAGGGCGAUGCCUCUUCGAUUUUGGAGCAAGCAAUCUUGUUGGGAGUGUUUUCUCGAAUGUGAGUAAAGGUUGGGCAUGUUUGCUAGUCUACCUUGCCACGAAGCACAGAGGUUGACACACAUGGACUUUCCAAUUAUCCAGCAGUGGUACUGUUCCUUUACCCUCUCUUCGAUUUUUGAGAAAGUAAUCAUGUUGGGAGUCUGGCUCUCGAGAUUCGGAGGGCGGUGCCUCUUCGAUUUUGGGGCAAGCAAUCUUGUUGGGAGUGUUUUCUCAAAUGUGAGUAAAGGUUGGGCAUGUUUGAUAGUCUACCUUGCCACGAAGCACAGAGGUUAACACACCGGGACUUUCCAAUUAUCCAGCAGUGGUACUGUUCCUUUACCCUUGUGGGUAAUAAUAUGGUAGCUAGACCUUCAAAAUUUAUGUGUCUAAACUUUGUUAGUGUUGU